GAUGAACGCUGGCGGCGUGCCUAAUACAUGCAAGUCGAGCGAACAGAUGAGGAGCUUGCUCCUCUGACGUUAGCGGCGGACGGGUGAGUAACACGUGGAUAACCUGCCUAUAAGACUGGGAUAACUUCGGGAAACCGGAGCUAAUACCGGAUAAUAUAUUGAACCGCAUGGUUCAAUAGUGAAAGACGGUUUUGCUGUCACUUAUAGAUGGAUCCGCGCCGCAUUAGCUAGUUGGUAAGGUAACGGCUUGCCAAGGCAACGAUGCGUAGCCGACCUGAGAGGGUGAUCGGCCACACUGGAACUGAGACACGGUCCAGACUCCUACGGGAGGCAGCAGUAGGGAAUCUUCCGCAAUGGGCGAAAGCCUGACGGAGCAACGCCGCGUGAGUGAUGAAGGUCUUCGGAUCGUAAAACUCUGUUAUUAGGGAAGAACAAAUGUGUAAGUAACUAUGCACGUCUUGACGGUACCUAAUCAGAAAGCCACGGCUAACUACGUG
rnacentral:rRNA from 1 species